rnacentral:rRNA from 1 species
GGCGGACGGGUGAGUAACACGUGGGCAACCUGCCUGUAAGACUGGGAUAACUUCGGGAAACCGGAGCUAAUACCGGAUAAUCCUUUUCCUCUCAUGAGGAAAAGCUGAAAGACGGUUUACGCUGUCACUUACAGAUGGGCCCGCGGCGCAUUAGCUAGUUGGUGAGGUAACGGCUCACCAAGGCGACGAUGCGUAGCCGACCUGAGAGGGUGAUCGGCCACACUGGGACUGAGACACGGCCCAGACUCCUACGGGAGGCAGCAGUAGGGAAUCUUCCGCAAUGGACGAAAGUCUGACGGAGCAACGCCGCGUGAGUGAUGAAGGUUUUCGGAUCGUAAAACUCUGUUGUUAGGGAAGAACAAGUACAAGAGUAACUGCUUGUACCUUGACGGUACCUAACCAGAAAGCCACGGCUAACUACGUGCCAGCAGCCGCGGUAAUACGUAGGUGGCAAGCGUUGUCCGGAAUUAUUGGGCGUAAAGCGCGCGCAGGCGGUCCUUUAAGUCUGAUGUGAAAGCCCACGGCUCAACCGUGGAGGGUCAUUGGAAACUGGGGGACUUGAGUGCAGAAGAGAAGAGUGGAAUUCCACGUGUAGCGGUGAAAAUGCGUAGAGAUGUGGAGGAACACCAGUGGCGAAA